rnacentral:lncRNA from 1 species
AAAGCCGCGGGCCUCGCGAAGAGCCGCGCGCGGCUGCUCGGAGCGGAUCGGUGGCGCAACGCUUAUACGACCCACUAAAACUUCGGAGUUGCGUAAUCCCGGGGAAGGAGACGACAACCGCUGCGCUUCUCCGACGCGUGGGGCGCUGCAGUCGCGGACGAUUUGAAAUUAACCGUUGAACAGAAUUUGCGUGGCAUGUAGAUGGACAUGGCAUUGAUUAUGGUUAAUUGACAAAUUUCAAUUUUAAUGAGUGGGAAUGUAUCUUUGUGUGAUCUUGUUCGUAUGUAGCGACGGACAACCGAUUCAAAUGAGCAUUGCAUAAUCCUGAGGAAGGAGACGACGACCGCUGCGCUUCUCUGACGCGUGGGGCGCUGCAGUCGCGGACGAUUUGAAAUUAACCGUUGAACAGAAUUUGCGUCGUAUGUAGAUGAAAGACAUGGCAUUGAUUAUGGUUAAUUGACAAAUUUCAAUUUUAAUGAGUGGGAACGUAUUUUUGUAUAAUCUUGUUCAUAUGUAGCGACGGACAACCGAUUCAAAUGGGCAUUACGUAAUCCUGAGGAAGGAGACAACGACCGCUGCGCUUCUCUGACGCGUGGGGCGCUGCAGUCGCGGACGAUUUGAAAUUAACCGUUGAGACAGAAUUUUCAUCGGUUGAGUAGGAAGGACAUGGCGUUGAUUAUGUUUAAUCCACGGUUUCAAUUAAUAGGUGGGAACAUAUUUCUUGUACAGCCUUGUUUAAAUGUAGGUACGUAGUUAAAUUGAAUAGAUGGGAAAUUGAGUUAUGUAUUGAAAACUUAACAUUUUUAGGCAAGUUUUCGCGUAACUUUCAGACACUACGAUAAUUACCGAGCUUUCGAGCAUUGGAAAAAUUAACACUUAGAAAUUGCAUGAUAAUAUGUGCAAAAUGAGCUGAACAUCUAUCAUUAUGACUUUGCAGCCUGACGAAUAUUUUGAACAUCUAUCAUUAUGAUCUUGCAGUCUGGCAAUUAUUCCCAGUAGAGUUACGCAAAUCUGAUUUAGACAAAAUGGAUCCGAAGUUAGGCAAGUUUUCGCGUAACUUUCAGACACCGCGAUAAUUAUCGAGCUUUCGAAUACUCAACAGGUACUCGAAUAUCCCUCAUUAAAUUCCCGAUAAGAUCGGGACAUCCGAUUGUUAUCAGGUUCUCGAGGCCGCCUCGCGAAAACUACAGGCCGGCCGCAGUAACGUUCCACCGGAAGCAUCCGACUUCUCGAUCAUAUUAACGAUCGUCUAGAUCAACUCAGCAGGUGCACUUGAUAGAUUUUCUUCAUCAAUCACUCGUAUGUAUCACUCAUUCAUGUGUAUAUAUAUGUGUGUGUGUAUAUAUAUAUGUAUAUAAAAUGACCAUAUCAUCUUAAAAGUGCCCAUUUUUUCUUCUUCACGACCCUUCGUAUCACCUGAACCUCUUCACCUACAAUAUCGUGUGAGAGACGUGUGAGACUUUGAACGUUCAGCCAAACCGUGAAAUGACCGACAUUUUUGUUGUUUAUGGCAUCGCUAUUGGAAUUUAAAUCGUAAGGCAAGGGGUCAAAAGUGCCUCAU